rnacentral:rRNA from 1 species
UACAUGGGGUGCAAACGUUGCUCGGAAUUAUUGGGCGUAAAGCGCGCGUAGGCGGUUACUUAAGUCGGAUGUGAAAGCCCUCGGUCUUAACUGAGGAAGUGCACCCGAAACUGAGUAGCUAGAGUACGAAAGAGGGUCGCGGAAUUCCCGGUGUAGAGGUGAAAUUCGUAGAUAUCGGGAGGAACACCGGUGGCGAAGGCGGCGACCUGGGUCGAGACUGACGCUGAGGCGCGAAAGCGUGGGGAGCAAACAGG